GUGAAACCCAUAUCUUGCAAAUGGGUUUACAAGAUAAAGACCCGGCUAGAUGGAUCAAUUGAGAGAGCGAUCUUGGGCACUCUUGCUAAUUCACAGCUGCUAUAAAAUUUGCUACUUUCAGAAAUCUUCGGCUACGAAUUCAAGAAACGCAGUGAAGCCAGUCUGAUAUAAAGUGGCAUCCAACUAUGCUUCGUGCAAGCACUCUGUUGAAGAGUCUUACCAUGACAUUCUAUCUGUGAAAGAAGAUGCAAGCCUUGAAGAAAUCCGUACUAGCUAUAGAUUGGCCAUCCUUAAUUAUCAUCCUGAUAAAUUGCAUAACUCAUAUCAGUCAUCUGAUGCUCAAAAUGAGUUGCUAGAUGGAUUUUUGAAGGCACAAAAGGCUAGGGAAAUCCUUAGCAAUUCAAGUUCACGUGCAGUUUAUGAUAUUGAGCUACGAGCUUCAAGAAAAGAUACAGGAGUUGCAUAAGAUGUGAGUUUAGAGGACAUGAUGAUUGAGGAUGGUGGAGAAAUCUUGGGGCUCUUUUAUCAAUGCUGAUGUGGUGUUCAUUUCUCUGUUGAUUCUUCGGAGUUGGGGAAUAUGGGAUAGACAUUGUUGAGUGAUGAAAAUAAGAUAUCAUUUGGAAUAUAGCAGAUGCUUUAGCAUCAGUUCUUCCCUGCGGUUUGUGUUCAUUGCAAGUUCAUCUAUUGAUUAAUGCAGACAUUAAGGUUCUAAUCAAUGACAAUCUGCACUUUUGAGAUAAAGAUCCCCUAAUGUGUGCAGACCAACCAGAUAGACUAUACAUGAUUAGCUUAAUUCUCAUUAACUUAGUUUGCCCUAUAUGGGGUGAAGUCUCUAGGCCUGAUGGAUAUGUACUACAUAUAUUACUGAUUUAGAGACAUUAGUAAGGAUUUCAU
rnacentral:misc_RNA from 1 species